AAGGCUGGCGAUAAAUGGCGACCCCUGGAAAUUAAUUGCACUAAGCUGAAUGUGGACGCAAGUUUUUUGGCUGAUCAUCUCCAAGGAAGUACAGGGAUAGGUGUGCGCGAUCAUGAAGGUAAACUCAUUCAUGCCCAGGCACUAUGGUAUGAACAUGCUGCCAAUUCUUUUGUUAUGGAGGCAUUGGCUAUUAGAGAUGGAGUCCGAGUUGCAGGUAAUAUGGGUCUCCGGAACAUCGUCAUUGAAACAGAUGCUUUGGAAAUUACGAAGCUAUGGAAUUCCAAUAACUUUGGGCGUUCAGAGAUUGUUGUUGUGCUUCAGGAAAUCAAAGAGCUUUCA
rnacentral:rRNA from 1 species